AGUCGAACGAUGAUGCCCAGCUUGCUGGGCGGAUUAGUGGCGAACGGGUGAGUAAUACGUGAGUAACCUGCCCUUGACUCUGGGAUAAGCCUGGGAAACUGGGUCUAAUACUGGAUACUACCUCUUGCCGCAUGGUGGGUGGUGGAAAGGGUUUUACUGGUUUUGGAUGGGCUCACGGCCUAUCAGCUUGUUGGUGGGGUAAUGGCUCACCAAGGCGACGACGGGUAGCCGGCCUGAGAGGGUGACCGGCCACACUGGGACUGAGACACGGCCCAGACUCCUACGGGAGGCAGCAGUGGGGAAUAUUGCACAAUGGGCGGAAGCCUGAUGCAGCGACGCCGCGUGAGGGAUGACGGCCUUCGGGUUGUAAACCUCUUUCAGUAGGGAAGAAGCGAGAGUGACGGUACCUGCAGAAGAAGCGCCGGCUAACUACGUGCCAGCAGCCGCGGUAAUACGUAGGGCGCAAGCGUUGUCCGGAAUUAUUGGGCGUAAAGAGCUCGUAGGCGGUUUGUCGCGUCUGCUGUGAAAGCCCGGGGCUCAACCCCGGGUCUGCAGUGGGUACGGGCAGACUAGAGUGCAGUAGGGGAGACUGGAAUUCCUGGUGUAGCGGUGAAAUGCGC
rnacentral:rRNA from 1 species